GAGGUGCCAUCUUUUUUCGGCGUGUCACGUCUUUACGGUGCCAUGCCAAACCGGGUGGCCGGGCUUCGUAGGACAGGGCGGGGCCUGGAAUUAAAGGGAGGGGGACAAUCAGCGCUGAAAUCUUGGCGUUUUGCUGCUGCGGGCGUGAGCACUGGGGGCGUUCGCCCAGCACCUUCUUCGGGGGCUCUUUGCUUUGUCUGUAGAGGUUACGUGAUCUGCGCUCCCAGCCCUGGUUUCUGGCUUUUAUUCUGAGGGUGUUUAGCCAACCUCUCCCCUACGCCCACGCGCCUCUCUUUCCUUUUUCGCUCCUCAUUUCCGAGCCCAUUGUUGGAUCUCGAGGCUUGCUGGGGUCAAUGAACCCGAGUCAACCCCCCGACCCCCGGCACGCAUGGAACGGGCGUGACCGCGCGCAGCCUCGUCUCGGAGUCUGCCGGCGCCGGGAAGCUUCUGAAGGGAUGGGAUUCCAGUCUCCGUGCGCGCUGCGGGCGGCGGCAGAGGGAUCUCGCCCCUCCUUACACCCCAAGUGUUCUGAGGGCCACGCUACACCAGGUUGCCCAGCGAGGGACGCUGGCUACCCAUCCGGGCAUGGGUGGGGAGCCCUGGCGGGGCCUCUGCGGCUUUAUGCCCUGUUGCUUCGCCUGGCCGGAGAAUGUGAGGAGGGGGCAUAAGGUUACUGGUGCUGCGGCCACACCCAUCUUUCUGAGCCCACUGGACGGGGCGCAGAGGGGGGAUUGCCAUGGGACCCACAGGCGUCCGGAGAGGGGAUCUUGGGGCUGGCCUCACCCCUUCCCUGCGGAGCUUGGGGACCCUGGGGUGGGGGGGCCGCGCCCAGUCGGCCUCCUGGAGGACACGGGAGGAAGCCCCCAACCCCUGCACCUGAGGCUCUUUCUGAUUGGCCCCUGGAGGCCGCAUACACGCAGAUAGGCGGCCCUGGGUGUAUUUUUAUUAAUAUUAUGUCCGUACUGAUUAAUAUUAUUUAUCUUAAAUAAAUUUCACCCGUGUCCAAGUUCACCGCGCCCCCAAAACCGAGUCUGGGGCGGCAAGGGGAACUCCUGGCCAACAAAUCCGAGCCUCGCCCUCCUGUGAUGAACCUGGUACGCGCGGUUUUCUGGUUAAUUCUAUCGCUGAAAACUGGUGCGGGGGGCGCACUUCUGAGACGAACGAGCAUCGAGGAGCUGAAUCCUCCACGCGGGCUGCCCAGGUUGAUCUGAAUUUCUGGGGAAUGGCUUGGCUGCCCACCCGGGCCGACCCUCCUCGACGGUGGCGUAGAGGGCUGGAGCCUGGGUGCUGCGAGGCUCCUCGCAUGGCUGGGCCCGCCGCGAGGGGUUGCAGAGCAGCUCAGGGAUCGAUUCAAGCAUCUUCUUUCCUCCCUCGCCCCCAAACAGAGCUGGGCGCGGGGUUCCCCUUCCAGAUGGAGCGAGGGUCUCGGGGUGGCCCUGGAAAAGGGGAGCCCGCGGCCACAGCUGCGUAUUGCCAUCUCGCGAGCAGAGAUGUCACCUCCUGCCUUUGGAGGAAAGGGAGCCCGGUGGGGAUGAGCGCAUUUAGCCCAAUGCCGGGAACAAAGCGCACUCCGCGCUUCUGCGAUUUCGCUCCAUUUUGAAAUGUGUUGGCGCUUUGGUGGGGCCGCUGCGGUGGGCAAGGCCGGGGGCGCUGUUAAUGAAGGAACCUCAGGGGGACGGACGGUCCUUCGUAGGAAACUAUCCUGGCUUUGCGCGGGCUUUAAGGAAAUGGCUUCGCUCCAGGACCUCGAGGGAUGCAGCUUUUGCGCGGAUGACGGUGAGGUGCUGAACCAGCCGCUGCGCCUCUGGAAAUGUCUGGGCACGGAUCCUGGGGCCAUCGACGACUCCUCCCCAUCCCCGGCAGGCGGGAGCUCUUACAUUCCGAGCGAGUGACCCCUCUCACCCUCUGGCGCUCACACACCUGUAACUCCAAACCUCCGUCUCAGAAUGGUCUAGGCUGGAAGGGAUGAUGGGGGCUCCGACAGCGACUGCCUAGCUCACCCCUCUGCGUGCUUAGGCUCCAGGCUCAGCAGGACCAAUCUGAGUUUUGUCUGAUCCCCCUCGCCCCCUUAACUGACCCAUCCUACAGGAGACAGGGAAAUGUCUUUCCUACCGCGGUUGAUUCUGGGGUGUCAUUUUGUGUUUUGUGAUGGCUGCUUAUAUUUACUGUAUAAGAAUUGUUUAUUUUCCAUCUCCAAAUCCUCCCUCUACAUAAACAAAUUAAUGGAUAAACAGAUAAGUGUAUCCCCUGCCCCCACCCCCUGCUACGCAGGUCCGGAGUGACUCUUGAAGCUCAUACAUUCCUUGGCCAAGUUUGCUUCUCUAGCAGACGUUUAUAUAGCAAUAACCUGGCUUGGCUCUUGGGUUCACCUUUGGACGAUUUGGGGAAGGGGCUUGUUGGCUUUGCUGGUUUUUGGAUGAGUGACAGUCCAUGACUGUUCCUGCUGGAAGGGCGUGACUUUUAAGUGGUUUCUAAUAUCAGGCAUUGCUCCUCCGACAGGAACAAAAGAAAUGGAUACUGCCCAUAAAUUGCUGGAAAACUUAGAAUCGGUUUGAUUGAGGAAAGGUUAGAUUUAUUCCGGUUGGAAAAAGUGGCCUUUCUAUUAAACGUGCCCUUUGACCCUCAUGCCCUUGGAGGUCAGUGCCAGCCUGGAGAUGGGAUAAGAUUGUGGUUUUCCUUCUGCCUUUUUAACAUCCGUUGUUACAGUCCAUUUGUUGAAAAUUUAAAGAAACUGUUUUAUUCCACUUUCCCUCAGCAUUUAUAUGUGUGGUUUCAGUAGCUCUGUGGCUAUAUGUACGAACACGUGUUAUUUUUCCAAUUGGACAUGUGAUAAUUUUCCAACUAGACCUUACCUUCUAUUGAUGUAUUUAUUUAGCAUCUUCCUUACUCCCUCUUUGAAAAAGAAUCACUCAAAAACAAAUAAAAACAGCCGUAGGGGCCUAAUACAGUGCUAGACAUA
rnacentral:sRNA from 1 species